rnacentral:rRNA from 1 species
UACGAAGGGGGCUAGCGUUGCUCGGAAUCACUGGGCGUAAAGCGCACGUAGGCGGCUUUCUAAGUCAGGGGUGAAAUCCUGGAGCUCAACUCCAGAACUGCCUUUGAUACUGAAGAUCUUGAGUUCGGGAGAGGUGAGUGGAACUGCGAGUGUAGAGGUGAAAUUCGUAGAUAUUCGCAAGAACACCAGUGGCGAAGGCGGCUCACUGGCCCGUAACUGACGCUGAGGCACGAAAGCGUGGGGAGCAAACAGG